AUCUAAGUAGUUUAAUUUAAAAUAUUGGUUUGUGAUAUCAAGGAUGUAGGUAACUAUCUUAGGUU
rnacentral:tRNA from 1 species